rfam:Toxocara canis scaffold332, whole genome shotgun sequence.
GCGGCAAUAGCUCAGUGGUAGAGCACCCGCCUCACAUGCGGGUAGCCCGAGUUCCAUUCCCGGCUACUUCC